UCCCAAAACUACCCCUUCUCUCUCUUUUCCAACAGACCUCCAAUAGCAACCUCUUCCAGCGCUGUCGCACGGCCACCUCCACUCUUCCAGCGCCACCACCACCUCCUCUCUUCCCAUCACCACCAACCACCAAAUCAUCUACCACCGUAUCAACCCGGUUCCUUCCCCUCAAACCCACCACCACCGCCCACCUCUUCACCGUUAGAAUUGCACCGCCACCUUCACCACAACCUAAUUCAAGCACCACUGCUAUCGCUCCCUCUCUUUCCAGAUGGCGCCACCGCCGCCGCCAUUUCCUUCUUUUUUCACGAUUUCUUGCUUCAUCGACUAUAUCGACGUCACCGAUGCCACAGAUUUCCCAUUUCCAGCGAUUUCCGACGUCACUCGGCGCAGAACAUUAUUCUCCGGUGAUGCCCAUCACGUUACCCUGUCAACCCUUACGUGGUUUCCUGAAAGAUUUGCCCUAGAUUUCAUCUCACUGAUUUUUGGGGGAUUUGGUAUGGAAGCAUGCUGAGUUGUCUAUCUUAUCCCCAACUCUUGGAUUUUUACAACUUGUGUCAUGUCCAUCUUCAGUUGAAAUUUGGAUGGGACAAAAUGAGGAUAUCCAUUGCUUUGUAGAGAAGGUGGUAGCUUGGUCUUGAGCAAGAGGGAGCAGAAGGUAGAGAAUUUGCUAUUCUUCACUGGAUAGAGAUGGUCAAGCAACAAUAGUUGUCUUUAGAUCCAUUUAUAAAGGAGAAGAGGUUGCAAGAUAAGCUUUUUAGCAACUGUGUAAGCCUAAGUACAUACUUUUUAGAGGGUUGUUAGGCUUAAGGAGCAGAAGAUCCAACUCAAGAAUGACUGAUGUAAUGUAACGAUGAUAAGAAAUUUAUGAAAGAGGCGUUUUCAAAAAUCAUCAUUUCUUAAUUGUUCAAAGUUCAAACUGGUAGGUUCUCCUGCUGAUUGCAUCCUUCUACCAAGUAAGUCAUAGAAUGCCUUAUAUUGUUGGUUCGAGUCUAAAUAGGUAUGUCAUGUUUUCUAUAUUUCAGCUACAUACUUGGUAGGGCUCCCCGAAUGAGAGAGGCCAACUGAGGAUUUGGUGGCUGGUCUUAAGCAGCUUGGUCUUCGUGUAGAUGUUGAUUGUUCUAUUGGUACAAACUGUCCAGCAAAUUCGAAGCUUAUGCCCUGGAAGAGAAGCAUGAAAGAUCAGAGCAAGGAGCUCCAUAGUUGGCAAUUAUGAUCUUGAAUUUGUUGAAAUUUGUUGAAGGAAUGUCUGCCACUGCUACCUAGAAUGCAGGUGAGUGAUCCUGUUGCAAAGUAUUAUGGGCUUAAGCGUGGACAAAUCGUGAAGAUAAUUCGGCCAAGUGAGAUUGCAGGCAGAUAUGUCACCUACUGAUUUGUUGUUUGAUAACUUCCUUGAAUAUACUGACCUUACUAUCCUUACUAUGCUACUGUGUUCCGUUAUCAAUUGAUAUUGAUACGAAGCUUGGACAAGGAUGCAAAGCCUUUUGGAAUAGGGUGACCUCUUUCUGUUUAUACUUUAUAAUAGAUAAAUAUUUGUGUUACUAUUGGAGCUUUGGAAUCAAAAGCGAGCAUGAUCUUAUCAUAUAAAAAUGUGUUGAAAGGCAUUUUCUCUA